CCCCCUCCCGCCCCGCCGCCAACGGCGCCUCUGGUCGUGACCGGCCCGGCGGCCCCCCAGUCGGCUGCGCUGGGGCCUGUGUCCCCUUGAGCUCCGACUCCGCCCCCGCCGCAGCCAGGCCGGCCGCCGAGCGCUGGGCUGGGUGCUCCUGGAGAGCGGGAGGCAGGCCAGUCCCCGCGCAAGCCCCCAGCCCUCCGUCUGGACCCCAGGGCCCGGCUGGCACCCCCUCCCAAGGUCAGAGUCACUGAUCCCGUUUUCAGUGGAGGAGACUGAGGCUCAGAGAGUCACCGCGUGAGCUGGCCUGUCACGGGCCAUGACGUGGCCCCGCCGUGGGUUUGAGCAGGCCAACCUGGCCCCGAAGGCUGUCCUUGCACAGGAGCCUGAGGCUCUGAGUCCGGCCUUGGAGGCUGACAUGGAUGCAGGGCGUCCCUCACCUGCUGGUUGGAGAGCAGCGAGAAGCUGCCGUGGCAGACCCUGAGACCAGCCCUCAUGUGCCCGAGGCUGCCAAGGGCGUGUGGAGCUGAAGACGAGGGCUGCUGGAGGCCGAGGGCCGUGGGGAUGCUGAGGACGGAACGUCUACUUCUGGCCCCCGAGGAGUGGAGGAUCAGCAGCGCCCAGACCCCGCAGGGCGCCCCGUGCCAAUCCUGGAAUGGGAGCUUCUGCUGGUCCUGGGCUCCGUGUUGGGGAACUGGUGGCUGGAUGGAAGGACCGGCUUUGCCGUUGUCAGACCUGACGGAUGGAUGCUCUUGAGUGCCCAAGGGCAUAGGCACCAGGGACCCAAGCCUGGAAGGUGUGAGGGAAGCACCCAGAGGCAGAGCCUGGUGGUGGUGGUGGGUAGGGCCUGUGACGUGGGCAGUGCCCCUUUGCAGACUUCAGCAGGUCCUCUUGUUUGCAGAUCACAGACAGCACCUGAGGCUGUGGUCUGUGAGGGGCCGGGUCAGCCCGUCCAUGGCAGCCACCAAAGCCUGGGGGCUGGCAAGGUUCAGGAUGAAACUGUAGUCUGGGAGAGAUCUGGACUGCCAGUUGGGGUGAAAAGUGCCCGGUAGCCUAGUCCACUCCAAUCUAUGAUUGUUGUCCACCCAACAACGCAUAUCUGGAGAGAGGCCCUGGCUGUUGUCGGGGGCUGGUGAGAUGAUGCCCUUGAUUAGAUAGGCAAAGAAGAGCAAAAUAAACCCAAGGUUAGCAGAACAAAGUAAAUAAUGAAAUUCAGAGCAGUGAUAAACAGAAUAGAGGAGCACUCGAGAAAAUCAGUGACACCAAUAGUUCUUUCUUUUAAAGAUUUAAAAUAUGGACAACAUGGGACAAUUGUAUGUCAACAAGUUGCUUAACCUAAAUGAAAUGGAUGAAUUCCUAGAAACACACAAGCUAGCAAAACUGACUCAAGAAGAAAUGGAAAGUCUGAGUAGACCUCUUAGAAGUAAACAAACUGAAGCAGUAAUAAGAACCCAACAGGGAAAAACCCAGAACCUGAUGCCUUCAUUGGUGUUUUGUCUCAGAUACUUAAAGAUAGAAAACAGAUCCUAAAUUCUUCAAAAAGUACAGAACAAGCAAACACUUUUAAACUCAUUUUGUGAUGACAUUAACAUAACUUCAAAGAUUCUGUAAAGAGAGUAGGACCAUAAAGAAAGCUGAGUACUGAAAAAUGGAUGUUUUUGAACUGUGGUGUUGGAGAAGAUUCUUGAGAGUCUCUCGGACUGCAAGGAGAUCCAACCAGUCCAUCCUAAAGGAAAUCAGUCCUGAAUGUUCAUUGGAAGGACUGAUGCUGAAGCUGAAUCUCCAAGACUUUGGCCAUCUGAUGUGAAGAACUGACUCAUUGGAAAAGACCCUGAUACUGGGAAAGAUUGAAGGUGGGAGGAGAAGGGGACAACAGAGAAUGGGAUGUUGGAUGGCAACAUGGACUCGGCAGACAUGAGUUUGAGCAAGCUCCAGGAGUUGGCGAUGGACAGGGAAGCCUGGUGGGCUGCAGUUCAUGGGGUCACAAAGAGUCAGACGUGACUGAGCGACUGAACUGAACUGAAAGAUGCCAUAAGAAAAGACAUCUGUAGGCCGAAAAUCCAUUAGAAAGAUGCGAAAAUCUUCAGCAAAAGGCGGGCAGGCAGAACCCAGCAGCAUAUUGAAGGAACUGUAUAGUCAUCUCCAGUGCUGUCUAUCUCAGGAAUGAGCAGGGCUGUUCAGCACAGUUAAUCGGUGUCAUACACCACCUCAAUAAAAGCACGUGGUCAUCUCAACUGAUGUAGAAAAAGCAUUUAGAACUUUGAAUAAACACAAGCCUUUUUUUUUUUUAAUAGCUGCUCUCAAUAAAGUAGAAAUAGAAGAGCAUUUCCUUCACAUGAUUUAGGAUAUUUGAGAAAAACACAUACAUCAUACUCGGGAGAAAGGCUGAAAGUUCUCUCCCUAAGGAUGGGAGUAAGUCAGUGAUGCCCACUUUUGCUUUUCAUUUCAAAAUGGUAAUGGAAAUCUGAUAUGGAAAUAGAUAUAUGUCUUGCUUAGACGGUAUAAAAUUCGUUUGCAAUGUGGGAGUCCUGGGUUCAAUCCCUGAGUCAGGAAGAUCCCCUGGAUAAGGAAUGGCAACCCACGCCAGUAUUAUUACCUGGAGAAUGGCGUGGGCAGAAGUCGCUGGUGGGCUACAGUCCCUGGGGUUGCAAAGAAUCUGACAUGAUGGGGCAACUAACACUUUCACUUUCAUAUCAAUAGAAUUGAGAAAUCCAGGCAAUUGAUUUUGAACUUGUAUAUCAAGAUCAUUCAUAAGAGAAAAAGUCUUUUCAGCAAAUGGUCUGGGGAAACCGAAUGCCCACAUGCCACAGAACGAGGGUGGAGCCUUACCUCACAUGAAAGAAAAACUAAUUAUGGAACAAGGACCUAAAUUUAAGACCUAAAAUGGAACCAUCUUAGAAGAAAACAUAGGGAUAAAUCUCAUACCCUUGAUGUGAUAUUUAAUAGAAUGGCUAUUAUACAAGAGACCAAAAAAAAAAAAAAAACAGAAAAAUUGGACUUUAUCAAAAUGAAAACCUUUUGUGAAUGAAAGGGCAAUCUCAAAAGACUAUAAAGAAGACCCAAAUAAUGGUUUAAAAUAUUGGCAAAUAAUAAAUCUUCUAAAGGUCUUAUAUCCAGAAUACAUAAAGGACUUUUACACAAGAGCAUAGACACAGCAUCAUUGCAAAUAAUAGACAUUUCUCCAAAGAAGAUACACAGAUGGCCCGUGAAGCUCAUGGAAGGAUGAUCAGCAUCACCAGGUGUUAGAGAAAUGCAGGCCAGUGCCACAGGGACACACUGCUUCACACCCACUGGGACAGCUGUCAUGCAGUGAACAGUAACAGAUGGUGAGGAUGUUGAUGAAUUGGGAUUCUUGUACACUGGUGGGUGGGGGGUGCCGUGGAAGAGGGGGAGUGGGCAACAGCAAGUGAGUGCUACAUGGCUACAGGGUUUCUUUUGGGGGUGAUGAAAACGUUAGGGAACUAGAGAAUGGUGGUGGUGCACAGCAUGGUGAAUGUAGUUAGUGCCACCAAAUCAUGCAGUUAAAUAUGUUGGAAAAGAUGAACUUUUACUUGAAAGUUAACUCACAAAGCACCAUGAAGAAACCAUAGAGUAUGUGCAACGAAAAGCAGAAAAGGAUACCCUCACAGGUGAGGAAGGAAGACUCUGGUUCUGGAGGUGACACCAGCUGGGUUUCAUGAGCAGCUACUGGAGGUGGGUUCAGGGCUUUGUGGGUUGGUGGCUGGAACAGGCUGAGCUCUGGGGCUGGUGCUGGUGUUGACUCCUGCUGUGUCGACUGCACCAGCCAUAGCUCUGCACGGGGCUCCAGAGCGGGCUCUUUGGCAGUAGGUGGGCGAGAGCUAGAUCUGGGGCUGAUUCUAGUCCUGAGACUUGAACUGGCUCUGUCUCUGGAAUUGAUGUUGGAGCAGGUUCUGGCUCUGGAGCUGGGGAUGGAGCUGACUCCAGCAUUGGUGACAGAACUGCCCUGUCUCCCGGAUGAUGGUGACGGGAGGCUAGAGCUUCUCCCAGCUUUGGUGUUGGAGCGCGAACUCUUGUUGCAGCUGCUGUUUUCUCUGGUGUUGCAGUCCUUUAAUGGACCAGAGCCUGGCGGUCCGGAGUCGACAAUAAGCAAGUGAAAGAGAGAAAAAAGAAAGACAGAUAUGGGGACCCAAGCUCUGAUGGAGCAAGGGUAUUUUAUUAGCAGAAAUGCAGGCUUAUAUGUCUUUAGUGGGAUGAUUACUCAGCUAUUACACAGGAUGAAAAUUUGUCAACAGCCACAAUAUGGAUAGUCUAAUACAUAGAAGGUUACUGACGCUGAAAAGAGUCACUGCAUGUCUCAUCCUAUGACCUCAGUCCUGAGAACUGCGGGUAGCUCUAUUCAUUCUCGGAAUAGGAACUGAUAAGGAACAGAGAAUCCUCGAGAAAUAGAAAACAGCAUGCAGGAAUCCUGUUAAAUGUUCCCUGGCACUCGGGACUGCGCGUGCUUAAGAGUGGACGUAGUAGUAAGAACCAACUAGAGCUGGUUCUGGAGUGGAUGUAGUACUAGAGCUGGUUCUGGAGUGGGUAGAUGUAGUACUAGAGCUGGCUCUUGACUGGAUGUAGUUGACUGGACGUAGUACUAGAGCUGGUUCUGGACCAGACUCUGAUUUGAGCUGGUUCUAAUUCUAGGCCUGGUGCUAGAACUAUCACUGGAGUUUCCACAGGAGCUGGUAAUAAAACUGCCUCUCUCUUUGUAGUUUGUGUUCAGACUGGCAUUCAAGAUUUUUCUACCUCUAGUUUUGGUGCUAGAGCUGAUGCUGGAGCUCUUUCCAGCCCUGGCGGUGGUGCUAGAACUGCCGGUAACUCUGGAGCUGGGGCCGGCCCGUGCUCGAACCCUGGAGCUCAUGCUUGAGCCAGGUCGUCCUCUGAACCUGGCAUUGCCUCUGACUCUGUUGGAGCCAGUGCUGGCUCUUGAUGAGCCCGCCUCAGGGCUUCCCUGGUGGCCCAGAGAUUAAAGCGUCUGCCUGCAAUGCAGGAGACCUGGGUUUGAUCCCUGGGUCAGGAAGAUGCCCUGGAGAAGGAAAUGGCAACCCACUCCAGUAUUCUUGCCUGGAGAAUCCCAUGGACGAAGGAGCCUGGUAGGCUACAGUCCACGGGGUCGCAAAGAGUCAGACACGACUGAGUGACUUAAUUUUCACUUUCCAGUGAGGGGAAGGGUGGCAUCCUUUCUUUCAGGGAUGGGCAUGCUGCCAGGAAGGCAGCCAUUCAAAAGAGGUUGGUACCCAGAGAGGUCCUGAAUGAGGGGAUCAAGAGGACACUCAGCCUGACAAGCUCACAAGGAUGCUCUCGCACAUGUUGCCAUUGUCCUUGUCCAUGGUGGAUGAUGCGGUGCUGCCCAUGUGCUGGAGGCAGUGAGGAGGUGUGGGUGCAGACCCCUGAGACAGAGAGUUUGUGGGUGUGUGGUUGAAGCUCAGAAGGGGGAAGUGAUGCUGGGGGCCGAGCUGAUGCCAGAUCUCAGUAAUCAUGGAGCCAGCAUGGUCAGCAGAGUCUCUGGACCCUGCUGGGCAACAGAGGCUGACCACCCACUCAUGGGCUUCUAGAAACUCCGUUUAGGACCCAGGACUUCCUGGCCCCUUUUGUGGGUGUGGAGUGGGGAGCUCCGGUCCAGGAAUGAAGGGGCUGGGAAGGGAUGUCAGGGAGAAGGGGUGGGCAAUAGCCUUCUUUGGUUGGACAUCAUAGGGCUCUGUGCCAAAGCUUGUAUCAUUUCCUAUACUCCGAAGCUGGAGGAGCUGGCCAAGUGCACGGUGAGCACGUGGGCAGAGUCCCCGCUGCAGACCUCUGCCCCCGUCUGAGCCGGUCACAGCACUAAGGUAGGAGCUGCCCCUGGUCCUGAACUCUGUGCCAGGGACCUGGUGACUGCGUGGCAGAGCUGGCUUUGCAGUGGUUAAAUCCACAGGGUGAGUGAUGCUCGGUGGAACCCAUGGGCACAAAUGACAGCGACCUGCACUAGGAACUUAUGAAGAAACUCCGGACGGCAGUGCCUGGAUGGCACGCUGCAUGGGUUGCAGUGCCUGCAGGGGCUGAGGCCCGUGGGCAGUGCUCCUUGGCAAAGCCAGGUAGUCCUUUGGACCCCAGGGGUGAGAAGGCGCCUGAGGCUACAGGUGGUCUACUGGAGGUCGGGUCAGCCUGUUGACUGGCAAGCGUCACGCUGGCAGCAGAAGAGGUUCAGGGUGAAACAGCCUGGAGGUGACCUGGGCUGGCAGGUGGGAGGCAGGUGCCCACCUGACCAGUCUGUAACUAACUAGUUGCCUAGUUACAGAUGCUGGGGAGGGCAGCCAUGUGACUGGCCAGUGCUGAGGACCAAUUAGAAGAUGCCCUUCGCAAUCUUGAGUCCCUUUUGCUUUGGGUGGGAGAGGGUUGAGUUGGCUCUGUGUCUCACCUCCACCCGUUUGCUAGAGGCCGUCUUUGUCAGGACACCAUCACAGUUGGUGGUCGAGGUCAUAUGAUGGAACGUGUUGGCAUUUUGGGUCUUCACCCCUGUGAUGGAGGGUCAGUUGGACUCACGAAGGGGCUGUGGAGCAGGGAGACGGAAACACAUAGAGACAGGAAGCAGACGCGCGACUGUCAGGGCUGAGCGAGUGGAGCUGGGGCAUGACUGCUUAAUGGGCACAGGGUUCCCAUUGAGAUAGAAAUGUCUGGAACUAGAGGGCAGUGGUGUGCACGAGCACAGAGAAUGUGGUUAGUGCUGCUGAAUUGUACAAUUUAAAGCAAUUGCAGGGCUAAUUGUCAUUGAAUUUGAAUUUGAACACAUGAAAUAUAAAAGCAAAGAUGAUAUGCAAAAGAAAAGCAAGAAAAACGUGCCUUCCUGGGCAGGUGAGCGAGCCCUGGGGCUGGAGCUGGUGUGGCUGGAGGUCAGCUGUUGGAGCUGAAGGUGUUGCAGAGGUGGAGCCGGCCCAGAGCGGGAGCUGCGGCUGAUGCUGAGAUGCUGCUGGCCCUGCCGAGGGUCUGGCCCGGGAGCAGUGCCUGCACUGGGGCUGAAGCUGGCCCUGUCUCUGGCCGUAGUGUUAGAACCAGCUCUUGACCUGGCUGUGGUGCUGAGGCUGACUCUAGGUCUCUGGUAUUACUCCCAAAUUUGGUGCAAGAACCAGCACCUGCCGAGGCUUCCAUUGUGGAGCCGGUCCCUGUGUUUGGGUGGAAGGGGCUUUGGUUCUGUUGCUGGUGACAGAGCUGACUUUAGUCCAAGUUGGUGCAAAUUGUGGGGCUUUUUUGGCCUUAGCUUUGUAGGGCAAGGCGACCCCGGCCUUCCUGCGUGUAUCAGAUGUGCCUCUACUUACCCAGGGGGCGAACAGUCCUGUGAUGACUCUGGCUCUCUUCCUGGUCCUGGUGCAGACGUUGGCCAGGCUCCAAGCUGCUGCUGUAACUGGUUGUGUCGUGGGUGCCAGUGCCCGGGGGUCUGCUGAAGGUGGCACUACAGCCAGUGACAGAAGUGACAGUCUAGAGCUGCUCUUAGUUCUGCGGCUGUUUUCUGAAGCUGGAUCUAAGUCUCAGAUGGUAAUAGGCCUGGUGCUGGAGCCAGCUCUGCUCUAGAUCUUGAGAUGGCGCUGAAACAGCAAGAAGAGGAAAGACCAGGCACCUGACUGCCCUUCCGUGUGACUUCCCGAAGAGAGACACGUCCUGCAGCCUUCCCCCGCGGUGCAGGGCUGGCUCCCUAAUGGGAGCUGAUACUGGGGCCGGCUCCAAGCCUGGCGGUGGUGUGAGAACUGGUGGGAGAGCUGGUGAUGGAGAUGGCCUUAGCUCUGGAGUUAGAGCCAGAGCUCGCUCUUGUUCUGGAGCUGGUCUGUUUGAGCUGCAGCCGGCUCUAGUCUGAGCUGGCACCAGCUGCAGCUCAAUAGUUGCUGUCAGGGUGGGCACUAGUCUACGGAUGGGGCACGUCCUAGUCCUUCAGGGGACUCUGGCCCUGGACCGGCUCCAGAGCCCGCUCUAGCUCCACAGCUGUGCAAGAUGUUGUGCUGGAGAUGCCCUGGUUCUGCCCCCCCACCUGCAGCUGUGGCUGAGAUGCUGCCCUCGCCUCUCCCCCUGCCCCGUGGCUGUGAGCGCCGAGGAAACAGUGGCAUCUAGGAUAUAAGAUGAUGUGAUAUUUCAGCUGACUGCACCCAGCAGGGAACAGUGCACAGACGCUCAAUGCACGCAAAAGUAAAUGAAUGAACCCAAGCUAUUGCCCCCUCAUUCACAGAUGGACAAAAUCCACAUGAUGAUCCGAACUGAUGUAGAAAAGGGACAGGCAAGAUUCAACACCUUUUCAUGAUAAAAAAAGACAACAAACUAGGAGUAGACGGAAACAACUUCAACACAAUAAAGGCCGUUUCUGAAAAACCCACAUUAACACUGAGUGAUGACAGACUGAAGUAUUUUCUCUAAAAGCGAGAACAAAGCAAUGAUACUGAUUCGCCAUUUGUAUUCAACACAGUCCUGGAAGUCCUAGCAAAGGCAGUCAGGCAUGAAAAGGAAAGGUAUUCAAAUUUGCAGGGGAGAAGUGAAUUGCUUCUGUCGUCACGUGAUGUGACCUUGUGUGGGAGCUCUUAUCUAAGGAUUCCGCCAGAAAAUACUGUAGGACUAAUAAAGUACUUCAGCAAAAUCACUGGACACAAAGCCCGCCCACAAAUGAGCUGCCUUUCUGUAUGCUAACAGUCACAAUCUAAAAUUCAGAGUCCAUGUACGGUGGCAUCAACAGGACAAAACACUGAGGAAGAAAUCUAACCAAGAAAGUGAAAGACUUCUAAAUUAAAGACAAAUAAAUGGGAAGAAACCUCGUGCACAGAUGAGCAGACGGUGUCACUACAGUGUUCGUACUACCACAGGCAGUCCACAGAGUGCAAUCUCCGUCAGUCCCUCUGUGUUUUCUUUGCAGAAAUAGAAAUAUUUAUCUAAAACCCUUUUGCAAUCUCAAGGGAACCUGAGCUGCAGAAACAAAAUUGUAAAGAGCAACAUAGGAGGAUGCCACCUCCUGACUCCAGAACACAUCACAAAUCUUUGUUAAUCAAGGUGGCGUGGCACUGGCAUGACAAUAAGUAGACCAGAGGGACGGCAUAGACAGCCCAUAGGGGAACCCUUGUGUGUGUGUUCAGUUGGCCUUCAGGAGGGAGCCAGGGCACGCAGUGGGGAAAGGACAGUCUCUUCAGCAAAUGAUGUUGGGACAGCUGGAUGUUUAUGUGCGGAAGAACAGAACUGGGCCCUUACACUGUACAAAAAUUCACUCAGAACGGAUUAAAGACCCAGAUGAGAGUCCGAAAUCUACGAAACUCCCAAAAUAAAACGGGCAACGCUCAUGACACUAGAUUGAUAACGAUUUUCUGUAUGUGACUGCAGUCACAGGAAACAUCAGCAACAGAGCAAAUUGACCCACGCCAGAGGAUGUGGCAGUUGAAAAGACAGCCUGCAGAGCGGCAGGAAAUAUUUGAAAGUCAUGUCUCUAACAAUGGGUUAAUAUCCAAAAGGAGUAAAGUACUCGUGCUUGUUGAAAAAUGGGCAGAGGGCUUGAAUAGACAUGUCUUCAAUGGUACACAGAUGGCCACAAGCAUAUGAAAAUGUGCUUAAAUCACUAAUCAUUAGAGCAAUAUAAACCCCAAACACAAAAAGAGAAAAUGUCACACAUCAGAUGAGGCUGACUGCUUAAUUAAAAAUAGAGAAGAUACCAAGUAUUUGCAAAGAUAUGGAGAAACUGGAACUUGCGUGCGCUCUUGAUAUGAUUUUAAAAUGGCAUAACCACUGUGGAAAACAGUAUGGAGAUGACUUAAAAAAAAAACAACUGCUUUGUGAUCCAGUAUUCCAAACUCUGUGUAUAUAUCCAGAAUUGGAAGCAGAGUCUGGAAGAGCAAUUUGCGUGCCAGUAUUUCACAACAGCCAAGGGGUGGAAGCACCCCCGUGUUCAGCAGUGGAUGAGUGGGUAAACAAACGUGGCUGAGUCAUACAGUGAAAUACUAUUCAACCUUAUAAUGAAAUCCUGGCACAUGCUAAUGUCAUAGGUGAAUCUUGAGGACAUUAUGAUAAGUGAAAUAAGCCAUUCACAAGAGAGAAGCACAGUGGAAUCCACUUCUUGGAGGCCUCUAAAGUGGUCUUACUCAUGGAAAUGGAAACUAGAAUGGUGCUUACCAGGAGACUUGGGGCAAGGGAGACGGGGGAGUCUUGUGUGGGGUGUGGAGUUUCCCAUUUGCAAGAUGAAAAGCUCUGGGUGGAGAUUUGUUUCAUAGCAAUGUAAAUGUACUGAGCACUACUGACCUGUGCACUUAACAUGGUUAAGAUGGUAAAUUAAAUGCUAUAUCUUAAAAAAAAAAAAACCCGUACAAUAAAAAGAGAGUAAUUUUAUGUGAAGCUGUUUAAACUGAGCCCAACACAGACUUACUUAUAUGGACAAUUUCAUCAGAAAAAAUUGGACAGAAGAUUUGACUAGGCGUUUCACAAAGAAAAGUCACCAAAUGGUGGUGGUACGCACAUUAUUACUCCUUUAGGUAUACUGCUCUAGGAAAAUGCAGAUUAAAGCCAUAGUGAGAUGUCACCACACGUACGCCAGAGUGGUUGAGGUGGAAACAUCCUGCAGCGCUGGCGAGGACGUGGGCAGCUCAGGCCUCUCACUCAUGGCUGUUUGAGUAGAAAUUGUUCAGUCCCCUUUCUGAGGUUUUGUUGAUAGGAAUGGAUUCCCCAGUGGCUUAGUCAGGAAAGAAUCUGCCUGCAGUGCAGGAGACUGUGAUGUGGGAGACGUGGAUUUGAUUCCUGGCUUGGGAAGAUCCCUGGAGAAGGAAAUGGCAAACCACUCCAGUAUUCUUCCCUGGGAAAUCCCAUGGACAUAGGAGCCUGGCGGGCUACAGUCCAAGGAGUCUCAAGAGUCAUGCACGACUUAUCAACUAAACCAUCAUCACCACCACCAUUGAUAGGGAUAGAGUAGGAUAAUUAAAUAGUCAGUUUAGAAAUCCCACUACGGGAUUAAAGAUAGAACAGAAAUUUUAAGGGAGUUUGGGAGGCUGUUGUAAGCUAAUAACCACUCAAGAAGAGAAUCCAGUAACCUAGUGACAAUCUGCGCUACUUUGAAGGAAGACAGGUGCAUCUAAGCACUAGGAACACUCACGCCUCGAGCCAGGUAGUUAAAGCACAAGACAUGAGAUUCGGGGUUUCUGAAUCCUGUUCCAUGAAGUCAGGGAGUUAAUAGUUCUUGGAGGGUAGCGUUUCUACAUGUAGCCAAGACAGAAAUGUAGGUGGGAGGGGACGGUGUCCUGAAAGCUGAUGCGUUGCCGUGUUUUAGCGCUGCCAUCCUUGUGCUAACUGUACAUGUGAUUUGAACAGUGCCGUGACAGUCUGGGCUAGACCCUGUAGGGUCAGAAGAGGAGCUAAUGAUGUAAGCCUUGAAGUCUGCCAAUGAGGAAGAAGGUGGGGGUCUCCCCUGCCCACUUUUGUUUACAAAAAUAAAGCCCUCUCAGUCCUCAAGGCAGGGCCUGCUCACCUGCCCACUUGUAUCUCUCACAAGCGCGGAUGCUCAUAAACUCACUCUUUGCCUACCACUUUGCCUCAUGUUCAGUUCUUUCUGUGAUGAGACCAAAAAAAAACCCUGAGCUUUAGUAAGUCCUGACACCUGGUUAAUGGUUUCAGUGAAGACAGUGGGUUCAAGUUCCCUCCUAAGUCAGGGAUUGUG
ensembl:lncRNA